UUUUAAUGACACAUAGAGUAAAAAACUAUAAUGAGAGUAUAAUAACACCAUGAAGAGACACUUUUCAAUAUUUAUUCACAUUAUCAGCAUGGUUCCAGCAGUGAGAAGGAAACCUGCUGCCAGUAUAUUUCCAUGUGACUGACUGUGUGUUUGCAUAUGUGUCCUGCCUCUCUGCUCCAGCUGUUAAGAGGUCAGAGUUGAUCAGUGGCUGUCCAGGCCUUUCAGAGCCACUGACACACCAGCAGCACAAUGAUGAUGUCACUGACUCUACUGCUGACCAUCCUGGGGCUCCUGGUUCAGGGUUCAUCAGGAGACAUCAUCCUGACUCAGACUCCUGGAUCUCAGUCUGUUGCUCCAGGACAGACUGUCUCAAUCACAUGUAAAACCAGUUCAAGUGUUAAUAACUAUCUCCACUGGUACCUUCAGAAACCUGCAGAAGCUCCUAAGCUUUUGAUUUAUGCUGCUACAACUCGUCAGUCUGGAGUUCCAGCUCAUUUCAGUGGACGUGGAUCUGGUUCUGACUUCACUCUGACAAUCAAUGGAGUUCAGGCUGAAGAUUCAGGAGUUUAUUACUGUCAGCAGGGUACCAACGUCCCGUUCACACAGUGAUAGAAUGUCGUACAUAAACCUCCCUCAGCUGGAGAGGAACUGAUCUGACUCAACAGCUGCAC